GCUGGGGACACGGCUGUCGGCAGGUCGUUCUGAGCCUGCCGCGCUGUUUCCCUGGUGU
ensembl:miRNA